CGUCUCCUCUCGUCUAUCCAGCUCUCUCUCUCUCUCUCUCCUCUCUCUCUCUCUCUCGUCAUUUCUCCUCCGCCAUCAGCUUCUCUCGCGCCUAGGGUUUCACCUGCGUCAGGUAGCUUGGGCCCGCGCCUCGUGCGCCGUCGGUGAGGCGGCUUGAACCCGCACCCAUCACCGUGCGGGAGGAGUCUCGAAUCUACUCGGUGACACGCACGCCAGGCACCGGCAGAUCGCGACGAGACCUCGGCGAGGGCGGCGCGCCGGCGGCUCACCCCGCGAGGUCCAGCAUGGUUACCGGCGAGGAUGGCGCUCCGGUGAGCUCCGUGACCGGCAUCUCCCUCAGUGGAUCUGCGUCAUCCUCAGCAAGGGGGAGGCAGGACCCAGCACUUCCCAUGGGGACGAGUCAUUUUCUUAGGAGAAGCAGAUGAAAGAAGGAAUGGGGGGAAGGGAGGCGGCGGCGCACAUGAAGGUGAGUUCUCGUUUUGCCCCCUUUUGAGAUUCGAUCCAUAUGCACGGUUAAAAAUCAAUUUAAUCUUCUAUUUUCGAGGUUGAUGCAGUGUUAGACAAAACUACGUGAGCAGGCAGAGACAUGGGAUACGGAGGUGCUCAUUUCUGAUUCAGAAGCCUUGGCACAUCUUUGGUUGAACCGUGGGCCGAGCUACUCCAUCAUGUUCAACAGAAAAGGGGGCUACUCUCAUGUUAUAGCUUCACCGACAUCAUUUGAGAAGAAUACACUUCCACAUGCUGCAGCUCUUCUUGAUGUAUCCCCUGUUACUGAUGUCACUGCAAUAAAGGAGCCACAAGUCUGUGGGGUUUGAUCUGCUUUUUACCACAUCUUUUUUUACAUUUUAUUCAGCAUAUGGGAGUUGCUUUCAUGUGUACACACGUGGUUUUGGAAUUUGGAUUGGUCCAUUUUAUAUGUUUUAGGCAAAUUACUGUACUUAGAUAAGCAAAGUAUUGUUAUCAGUUAGGCAAAGUACUGUUAUUAGUCAGGCAAAAUAUGUUUUAGUCAUAUUAUUACUGUUCUUCAUUUUAUUCCAUAGUAGCAGUUGGUUCCUAUGUUGUUUAGGCUAACAUAACCUUCUUGGUAGGCAAAGUAUUAUCAUUUGAGAUUAUUUGAGGAGUCCUUCAUGUUUUGUCAAUAGAUUUUAUUAAUGGUUCAAGUGUGGCGAAUAAAAUCUAUGGAUUCGCACGUUUACUGCCAUGCUAUUCUUCAAAAGAGCAUUUCUGUAUAUUUCCACAUUUAUUUCCUUGCUACAGUACAUUCAAGCACUCAUGACAUGUUUUAGUUCUUAAGAUUGUUGGAUUCUUGUAAGCUUGGUGUUAUGCAAUGUUUUAGUUCAAGCUAAAUCUUUACUUGCUUUUGGCUACUGUUUCAAACAUGUGUUGCCCAGCUGUACUAAUUAAGUGCUUGCUAAUUAAGUGCUUGGGUUAUUUGCAUCCUCAAUAGUUUAACUCUUUAAGCUUUGUAUCUGAUGCAUGUCUGAUUAGUGCUAGCUGCAGGAGCACAGUAGUUAUACUUUUGAGGUAUACUGUAAACUUAGUGGUAUUUGUUGUUGACAACAAACUGCUAGGUACUAUUUUUAUGCCACAUUAGUUACCAACGAGUAACUCCAUGGUAAGCACUUUUUGUAACAUGACUUAUUGACUUGCUUAUUGCUGGGAUUUUUAUUUUUAGGCAAUUUAUACUAGAUCAACAAGCAAUUCAUUCAUUUUAGCAUAGCAUUUUCUGUUUUGGUUUGAGCAUUUUUGUGUACUUUCAUGUUUUUCUAUUUUUGCUUACUGAAUCAAUUUUGUAAGCAACUCACGUGUUUAAUGAGUGUUUAAUGAGCUUGUAUUUUUUCUACUGGUUUAAUUGCAGUUUCAUUUUGUUCAUCAGAUCAUCACUCGGGAGCAGCAAAGUUGCAGCUCAACAUCGAUUUGAUCGUGCGCAGCUCAGUAGUAGUUGCAGUAGCUCCAAUCUUUAGUUUAAUUAUGACAACAGUGGAGCAAUCAUGAUUUUGUAAGCUGGUAUUUUUAAAACAUUGUGAAUGUUUUAGAAUUUCACCGGUGAGAUGUAUAUAUUCUAGUUUGCUUACAAUUUUCAAAGAUUUGCUUUAUGAGAUGUCAAAAGUUGCCUUUUUUGUCGCAA